rnacentral:rRNA from 1 species
AUUGAACGCUGGCGGCAGGCCUAACACAUGCAAGUCGAGCGGAGCGGCGGCCUGGUGAGUAAUGCCUAGGAAUAUGCAUGUUAGUGGGGGAUAACGUCCGGUAAAGGGCGCUAAUACCGCAUCCUAUCAGAUGAGCCUAGGUCUGAUUAGGUAGAUGGUGGGGUAAAGGCCUACCAAGGCGACGAUCCGUAACUGGUCUGAGAGGAUGAUCAGGCACACUGGAACUGAGACACGGUCCAGACUCCGACGGGAGGAAGCAGUGGGGAAUAUUGGACAAUGGGCGAAAGCCUGAUCCAGCCAUGCCGCGUGUGUGAAGAAGGUCUUCGGAUUGUAAAGCACUUUAAGUUGGGAGGCGUUACCAACAGAAUAAGCACCGGCUAACUACGUGCCAGCCGCCGCGGUAAUAC